GUUUUUUUUUUCUACAGCAACUAAGGGAGGUGACAAGGUUCUGACCCUUUCUCAUUUUGGAAAAGUGAAAUCUUAAAUGUAUUACCUACACAUAAAAUUAAUAACUUAAGUUCUAGCAUCCACUCUAGCUCAAAAAUAUAACAAAAAUGAAUGGGUACUGCCUAAUGGGCAUAAAAGAAACCAACACCUGAUCUUUAUUAUUCCUCAAAACCACCGUCAGCUUUUGUCCCCUUCAGACUUCCCUCAUUUGCUCCCCUGCCUUUCUCUUUUUAGCUCUGUUCACCUAUUUUAAUUGAUCUAUGAGGUCAAUAGGUUUGAAGCUUUAAUUCUAUUUACCCUCGGUUCUAAUCACAGUUUCAAGCCGGGAGCUCUCUUUUUUAAAGAAUUCCAUCUCUUGAAGUAGUUUCGCCAGCUUUUCAGCAUUCUCCUCCUGAAAAUGAUAUGGUACUUUUUCUUUAUAGCCUGCAGCAUUAACCAUCUUAUCCAACUUGUCCCAUUGCUUUUGUAUAUCAUCCAUUUUAUUUCUGAUCUUCUCAAGCUCUCCUCCUGCAUAAACUUUUUCUUGAACCUUGAGAUAGACUUUAAGAUUCUCAUUGACAUUAUCAAAUGCACAAUCAGCUGGAGGAGAUUCUUUCCCACUCAAUAAUACCCGAAGAAUAUUUUAUUUGAAACUAUUGGCUUAUGGUAGAGGAAGGAAUAUAGCAUUAUUAGAGAUAGAGAUUGAAAAUAAAACUUUAAAUACAU
rnacentral:misc_RNA from 1 species